GACGAACGGCGCAAACGUUAUUCGGAAUUACUGGGCUUAAAGGGUGCGUAGGCGGUGCAGAAAGUUGGGUGUGAAAUACCUCGGCUUAACCGAGGAAUUGCGCCCAAAACUACUGUGCUCGAGGAAGAUAGAGGUGAGCGGAACUUAGGGUGGAGCGGUGAAAUGCGUUGAUAUCCUAAGGAACACCGGUGGCGAAAGCGGCUCACUGGAUCUUAUCUGACGCUGAGGCACGAAAGCUAGGGUAGCGAACGGG
rnacentral:rRNA from 1 species